GGACAAGAACCUCAUCUUAUUCUGCUUCCUCGGUUUGAUUCAGGCAAGUGGCAUCAAUAGACAGUGGAUGAGGACGAUUUGGAUUCAACCAAGGAGACCUGGAACAGCCACCUGAUUCGUCCAUCAAGGAACGAACAUGUUCCCCAUGGUCGCCCUGAUGCCAUGUAUGCUAUCCCAGAACUAUAUAACACAGAGGACUAUCUUUGCCAGGUGUCUGAGGAAGAUUGCAUCAGGUGUGAUUCUGACUGCAUCCACCGCAGUGACAUUGCUGGUGAUGAAGAUGUGUUCACCCUCUGCACCUACCUAAUGGCCCAAAACAACCUCCAUGUUCCUGUGGAUGCAUACAUGGCCAUUGACCUCUACCUUUCCCUGAGAGAAGAACUGACUACAAUAUUACACAUUGAUAGGUAGUAGCAGAGGCAUUUCAAAAGUAGUCUAACCAAGUCCUCACUUACUGAAAUGCAUUACGUGAGCUACACAAGGCACAACAUUGGUGGGCUCUUCUGGCCACACACACAGCAAAACGUACACUGAUAAAAGCUACAGGGUCUAACAAUCCUGAAUUUAAUGAGAUCAACACAAGUAGGGUAGAGAGGGUGGAGUUUUAAGUAGAUUUUCAAAUGCAGCAAUGAAUUUUUACUUAAUAAAUACAUUUAGUUUGCACUUUUA